AUGUCACUGUUUCUGGACCUGUG
rnacentral:piRNA from 1 species